rnacentral:misc_RNA from 1 species
GAUGAAGAACGCAGCGAAAUGCGAUAAGUAAUGUGAAUUGCAGAAUUCAGUGAAUCAUCGAAUCUUUGAACGCACAUUGCGCCCCUUGGUAUUCCGAGGGGCAUGCCUGUUCGAGCGUCAUUAUAACCCCUCAAGCUCAACUUGGUGUUGGGGCCUGCUGCACUGGCAGCCCUUAAAAUCAGUGGCGGCGCCAUCUGGCUCUAAGCGUAGUAAUUCUUCUCGCUAUGGAGUCCUGGUGGAUGCUUGCCAUCAACCCCCAAUUUUUCUAUGGUUGACCUCGGAUCAGGUAGGGAUACCCGCUGAACUUAAGCAUAUCAAUAAGCGGAGGA